AGCAAUACCGCUGACGACCGGCGCACGGGUGAGUAACACGUAUCCAACCUUCCCAUAACUCAGGGAUAGCCUUUCGAAAGAAAGAUUAAUACCUGAUAGUACUUAAGAAAGGCAUCUUUUUUAAGUUAAAGAUUUAUUGGUUAUGGAUGGGGAUGCGUUCCAUUAGAUAGUUGGUGAGGUAACGGCUCACCAAGUCUUCGAUGGAUAGGGGUUCUGAGAGGAAGGUCCCCCACAUUGGUACUGAGACACGGACCAAACUCCUACGGGAGGCAGCAGUGAGGAAUAUUGGUCAAUGGGCGAGAGCCU
rnacentral:rRNA from 1 species